UGGGGAAUUUUGCACAAUGGGGGAAACCCUGAUGCAGCGACGCCGCGUGAUUUAGAAGGCCUUCGGGUUGUAAAAAUCUUUUCUAUGGGAAGAAAAUGACAGUACCAUAGGAAUAAGGACCGGCUAAUUACGUGCCAGCAGCCGCGGUAAUACGUAAGGUCCGAGCGUUGUCCGGAAUCAUUGGGCGUAAAGGGUACGUAGGCGGGUAAGCAAGUUAGAAGUGAAAUCCUAUAGCUCAACUAUAGUAAGCUUUUAAAACUGCUCAUCUUGAGGUAUGGAAGGGAAAGUGGAAUUCCUAGUGUAGCGGUGAAAUGCGCAGAUAUUAGGAGGAAUACCGGUGGCGAAGACGACUUUCUGGCCAUAACCUGACGCUGAGGUACGAAAGCGUGGGUAGCAAACAGG
rnacentral:rRNA from 1 species